CCCUACGGGGUGCAGCAGGCGGGGCUUUUUACGUUUGCGGGCGUCUACCGAAGCGAGGCGGGGGCUAAGACACCGGUUUUCGUGAUUUUAACCGCUCCCGCGGCAAAGGAAAUUUCGUUUAUUCACGACCGCAUGCCGCUGAUUCUGCCGGAGGAACGGCGCGAGGACUGGCUGGCGAGCGGAGAGUGCGCAGCGCGACUGCUCGAACAGGGCACGCAGGACGGCGUCUACGAACCCGCCGUAUAGCGCGGACAAAUCCUGACAAGAAAAGACAGGACGUGCGGUGCUCCGUCUGGUACCAUCAAUCCUGCAAGGGCAACAAGACGGCGCGAUGUGGAACAUGAGCAACGGCGGAGGAACGAACCUUGGAAUUGGCGGGGGGGC
rnacentral:rRNA from 1 species